GCUUUCACAUUGUCAACAUACAUUAUUUUAAACCUUAUAAAACAUGAAUAAGCACUGGACUGUUUUAAUUGUAACAUUACAAUUGGAUAUAAAAUAACUGGACAAGUUAGAUACAUUUUAAUAAAUAUAUGUAUGUAAUGACAGAAAUACAAGGACAAAAGCAGUAACUGUAUGUUUCCUAAAAUGACCUUAAUUAUUUUUCUUGUAUAAACAACAACCACAAAGAAAAAAGGUAAUUUAGUCUAUUUUACACUGUAAACAUAACAAUUAUUUGCAAAUCCUAUUAUACUUAAAUAUUUUAAGCACUGGACUGUUUUAAUGGUAUAACAGCGGGGAGUAGGGGUGCUUUUCCUUGCUCACUGUCGACUCAGCCCUGCAGCAGAAUUCAUGCCUCAGUGUUUUCCCCUGUUGCUUUCCGGAAGAGCAUUUUCUCUAAAGAGCAUUUCCUUUAAAAGAGCAGAAGCGCAUUGUGAUAAUGUCGCUUCGGCAUUGUGGCUCGUGCAGAGCCCCUUUGCCUAUUGAAGAUCUUCACACUGAAUGCGUCUCCUGUCUGGGUUCCACUCAUUUUGUGACAGCGCUCAAAGAUUCCGUUUGCACCCACUGCGAUUGUCUUCCUCUCGCUGUGCUGCGUGCCCGAAUUGCCGUUUUCUGUGGUGCCACCUCCUGUGCUCUCCUGCCAAAAAAGCAGCGGAGCCGUGAGCCUAAACACCAUCAGAUGAAGAGCUCACGUCGGCUCAGCCCCAGCGGGCUCACUCUCCGGCAACCAUUUACCUUCGCCAUUGAUGAUCAGCACCCCCUGCCGUCCACCAGUGGUAUGGUCUCAUAUGGCGGCUCAGACUACCUGGUUGAAUUUAUGUCUUCCACCACUGAGCUUGAGGAUUGGGCGGCUUCGGACGAAGACGCUUCUACUGCACAUGAGCCCAGUGAUGUCCGUUCUCAGUCUGAUUCUGAGCUCAUCCGCAUCCACAAGAACACAGCCGGCUUGAAGAGUGGUUCCCACAGCCGGGACGUCAUCAGCCGUCCCGCCAGAGGCAGGCCCCGUUCUUCCCCGAGGUUCACCAGGAGCUCACACGCUCAUUGCGCCCACACUCUACCCAUGCUCAUAGCUCCUUUGCCCAUGUGCUCUCAAUGGUCGACGACCCGGAUGAACACGGCAAUUCCAAGCUUCCGCCACUUGAGGAAUCAGCCUCUGCCAGGGGCUGGAGAUCGAAGUUCAACCACCCUUCUAAACCCUGCUUCGCCACUUCUGCCCUUCACACAAUGGUAGUGCUGCUUUAGGAAGUCAGAACAGCUUUUUGUGAGCUUUGCAGGUCAGUCAUUGGGUAUGCCUUUCACUAAACAGAGGUUAUACAAAUGGAUCGUCAAAGCCAUAACAUACGUCUCCCUGAACAAACAGUGGUGUUAGAGCCCACUCUACACGAGGUAUGACUUCUUCAUAGGCAUGGUCUACAGGGAUUUCUAUCUCCCAUUUGUCAGAUUUUACAGUCUGGACGUCCUUGCCUUACAAACGCUCUACUAGUCUACCUAUCCACACGUUAACCAAUUAUAUUGUGCUUUAUACUCUGUUUUUCUGAGUUUGCUUUAGCUCGUUUAAUGGGGCCCCAUUUAGUGCCCGCUCUCCAGCAAAGGCACUUCCAGUCUGUUAUAAGCACGGCAUAAUGGGAUAUGUUCCCCAUAUCAUCAGUUACUGACCCAAUGCUAUGUGAACCGUAUUGAAAGGGAACGAUAAGGUUACUCAUGUAACCCUUGUUCCCUGAAAUAACAGGAACGAGCAUUGCAGCUGGCCGUGCUUAAACGUCAUGCAGCGAGACUUUUUGACUGCGCGCUUCAGACGAAAAGGUACUGUAUGGCGUUCGGCUCAGACUUAUAUAAGGCGUCAUCCCCGCCCCUUUUGGCAGGCUCAAAUGCCAUUUGUUUGUUAUUUUUACAGAGCUAACCAUAGGCUGCAAUUGCGGAGUUAACAGGAGUUUCCCCCACAGCGUUAGCUACUGAUGCAAUGCUCAUUCCCACUAUUUUAGGGAACCAGGGAUAGGUGAGUAACCUUAUCGCUAUCAAAAGCUCACAAACGCCUGGGGCAUCUGCAGUUGGUGCUGACACAAACCCCAACUCACAGGAAAGCUGUUGUGUUUUUGGCUUAGUUCUGUCAGGACCGGGAAACUAGAAUCAGGAGUGAGGACGCAAGUGCAAAGUAAAAGGUUGAAUAAAUAACAUUUAAUAAAAAUAGACAAGAAACAAAACACGAGAAAUAAACAUGUCAGGUAAGUAAACACAGGAACACUAAAACUGAGAACAGGUACACACAAGGAAUCAGAGACAAUGAACCGGCAGAGAGUAUGGCAGAGACAAGAGUAUAUACACACACACACACUAAUAGACAACAGGUGAAACAAGACAGCCAAUCAAUGAGUAAGUGUCCAGGUGAUAAGAAUCAGAACAGACACAAAACAUGACACGGACUAACCGUGACAGUACCCCCCUCAAGGAGUGGCUUCCAGACACUACCACCCAAACAUGAACAUAAACAAAAGUCCAGGAGGAUGAGUCUGGGGAGAGGGAAGGAGGGCUUGGAGACCACGGCUUAGCCGGCGGAAGCCGGCAGGGCAGGGAGCCGGAGUGAAGCCGGCAGGGCAGGGAGCCGGAAAGACCGGAGCGGCCAUCUUGGGAACCGAGGCAGACGACUCGACCCUCCUGGGAAACGACGGAGAUCCGAUCCCCCUGGAAGUUGACUCACACCAUCUCGGGGAAACGGGCUUACACACGGUGGCGACCACCCCGGGGAAAUAAUCGGGCGUGGCGUCCGUUCCGAUCCCCGAAUCGAGCACGGCAGAGGACCUCCCAGGAACCAGACCAGACGACUCGACCAGCAGGGGAACCACAUGAAUUGAUUCGGUACUCACAGGAACAGGCUUGUGUGUCGUGGCGACCACCCCGGGGAAUGAAUCGGGCGUGGCGACCGCUAGCUUGAGCCCGUCCUGGAGUUCCGAGCGUUCCCUCACAGUCAGCUCCAAGGGGCAUCGGGGUUUGGCAGCUUGCAGGACCUGCUGUCCACUACUCCCCCUCAAAAAAAUAUUAGGGGAAGCACUCCGUGAACUUGCUGCGUCCUUGAAUGGCCGAUUCAUUCUGUCAGGACCGGGAAACUGGAAUCAGGAGUGAGGACGCAAGUGCAAAGUUCUGGUUGAAUAAAUAACAUUUAAUAAAAAUAGACAAGAAACAAAACACGAGAAAUAAACAUGUCAGGUAAGUAAACACAGGAACACUAAAACUGAGAACAGGUACACACAAGGAAUCAGAGACAAUGAACUGGCAGAGAGUAUGGCAGAGACAAGGGUAUAUACACACACACACACUAAUAGACAACAGGUGAAACAAGACAGCCAAUCAAUGAGUAAGUGUCCAGGUGAUAAGAAUCAGAACAGACGCAAAACAUGACACGGACUAACCGUGACAAGUUCACACUGCAGGUCUUAAUGCUCAGAUCGGAUUUUUUUGAGCUGUUAUUCACAUUAUCAUUUAAAUUUGACUGCCAUCAGUUUCAUGUGUGAACCCUGUAAACUCCGCAAAGAAUCAUUAACAACAGAGACCUUUUAGGGUAGUUUAUUUCUGAUAACAAGCCAAAUAAACAAGUAGAUAAACAAGUAAUGUAAACAAGUAGAUUACCUUAGUUCAAUACAGGGCCGGAGUGGGGCCACUUUUCAGCCCGGGAGUUUCAGGCCCAAGACCGGCCCACUUUUUCCAUAGCGUUAUUCCAAAUUAGCACUUUUUUCAAAUUGGAUAAAUAAAGCAACAGUUCAGCUCUUACUAUAGUUUUUAUUAAUAUUAUGGUUCAACAAAUAAGGUAAAAGUUAAAUAAUAUUUCACUUAAGAUAAGAAGUUAACAAAAAUAUUCCUCUAUACUCUAAAAAAGGCUGGGUUACUUUUUACCCAUAAUGUGUAAAUAUUGGACAGAACACAUGCUGGGUUAAAAAUUACCCCAUGCUGGGUUAAAAAUAACCCAAUGUUGGGUGGUUGUUAAUGCAACCAUGGAUUAUAAUAACCCAACAGUUGGGUUAAAACAACCCAGCACUGGGUCAAUUUAACCAAGCAGCGUGUUCUGUCCAAUAUAAAAUAUAUAAAUAACCCAGCCCUUUUUAGAGUCUAUUCCAUAAGGAAAGGUUGAUAAAUUAUUAGCAUUGCUAAUGCUAUGAGGCCGAUGAUUGAUUAAUGCAAAUAGAAAUAUAAAAGUCCUAAUUAAAAAAGAAAACAAUUUGACAAAAAUAUUGAAUACAAUAUUGGGUAAAUAGCAUAACAAGUGAUUUAUAAGCUUUUUUAGGCUGGUAAUUUUUGACUGGGAAAACAAAAGGUGUUAUAAGGUUCUGAACACAACCUGAGGGUUAAAUAACUUUAAUUUAUAUUGUUUACUCAUGUCCUCCUCAUUUUCAGCGGGGGACUGCUCGGAAGCUGCUUGGCUUUUUGGCAUGUAAAUAGUUUGACAACGGUAUUAGCCGAAUAAUUACGUUGCUGAUGCUAAUCAUUACUAGGCUUAUUUCUCUUUAAGUUACCUGUUGUCACUUUAGUUUGUCCUCUUGAAAAUAAAUCUGUAAGUUUGGCACAUUUAGCAGCGUCCUCCUCCAAUGGAUUUUUUCUUCAACCGGUUUUUUACGCCCUCCUCUUCUAAGACGCGUUAUGUUACGGUAGGGCCGGCCCAGCCUACCGGAGAAAAGUUUUCUUGGACGUGCUAUGGACCAAACCAACUCUAUAGGAGGGGAGGGGAAAACUCCCUCACAUGGUACAACCUAUGCAGAGGCUGCGCGCUGCCAAUGCGAAACGUGUGAAGUGUCAUUUAAGAGAAGAUAGACUCACUAACGUGACAAAUGUAAAAAAAAAACACUUGACCGGCCCAAAAGUGAAGCGGCCCACCGGGAAUUCUCCCGGUUCUCCCGAUUACCCACCCCGGGCCUGGUUCAAUAGCUGAAGCGAAUCAAAAACUAAACUAACAUUAAUGUGUUAAAUGUGUACCAUACAAUGUAUACAAUCUUAACUACAGAUCGGCUGCCAAACCUCCCUUCACAUGCGCAUGCGCAGAAGACGUGACGUCAGAUGCAUUUCGUUUGCAGAAAUAAACAUGGUACUGCUCGUAAAUGUCGCAUAAAAUGCAACAUGGCCGAUUAGACUGAAGUCGCAUUGCAAUACAUCAUAUAUGUAUCCAAUUUAGGACCACGAAAAUUAACCAUGGUUUUAUUGUGGUAAAAGUGUAGUAACCAUGGUUUUUUGGUCAAUUGAUUACUAUGAGCAAAACCAUGGUUUUACUACACUAACCAUGCUUUAACUAUGGUUUUUGAAAACCAUGGUUGUCAAAACCAUGGUUAUUUUGUGGUAACCAUGGUUUUACUACAGUAACCAUGGUUUUUUGGUCUUAACUGUAGUAAAACCAUGGUUAAUUUUCGUAUGGGUGACCUGGGCCUGAUUUUAAAAAAAUUUAUUUGUGCUGGACUGCUAUAGGAAAAUCAGAUAUGGGUCACAUUUGGGCAAAAAAGUCUGAUUUGGGCCACUUUUGCAUGCAGUGUGAACGUAGCCUUGUCAUGUCUCUUUGUCAUGCUUUUCUGGUAACAGUGGCGCUUCAGUCAUUUUGGGGUGACAAUGGCAACCGGACAACAGCACAGAUACACAGAAAGACUACAAAAGGGAAUUUAAAGAAUGUAUACUGACUAGAAGCGCAACUCAAUAGAACGUUCCAUUGUAACACCAAAGCCCAGCAACAGCCCUAUGCCUCCGAAAUUUUGAGGUGAAAGAACAGUUGUUUCUUGAUAUUGCUAUAGCAUUAUCAGUUGCUUUGUUUAAAAAAAUAAAAGUACAUUAAAGGGGCCAUUUAAAAUGUCCGCCAAAAAAAAAUCAAUUCAUACUCCAAACUCCAAACAGAGUGGGGCAGUAUACCUCCAGAAAGUGAGUUGGUCUAUUUUAAUUUAGCAGCUGCUAAUUUAGCAGCAUAUAUCAAGUUUGAUUUACAUUAGCUACUAAGUUAUCAUUAGUCACCAAAAAAAAAACAUUCGGUCUCAUUAACACUGCAAUGUUUUCCGCUACGUUUCGUGCGUCCAUUUGGUGUUCAUUAUCAUCGAAGACAUUUCAAGCUUCUUAGCUAAUGUUACAUUUUAGCAUCAGCUUGGUAGAUAACGGGUGAAAACCGGAUCGGAUCUGUGGGUAGAGCUAACUAUUAAACGCUAACAGCUAAGGAUGCGCGAUAAUUUGCAUGCGAUAGUCAUUGCGCUUCUUGUCAGUGAAGCCGGUUUCUUGAUUAAAAGUGAAUCCCCAUCAGCUGCUUUCAGAUGAAGCCACAUUUACUGCACAAAGCCGUAGUUCAUGUACAAGCUGAGCAUAGGUUAUCGCAAGGCAUAUUAUAAGUGAACUUCUAGCGAAAUACUAACAGCAUCUUACUUACCAAUCGAAAAGAAAUGUUGUCAAUUCGGGGUCGAACCUCAUUUCUUUCAUGUCCAUUAGUUGUCUCCAGCGGUGAAAAGCAGUGCCAGUAUUUACUCUGGUUCGGUUAGAUUUUAUUUGUGAUAUGCGCGUUUUUUUUUUUUCUGCGGCGAAUGGUUGUGGUAGUGGUAAAUGUCUCUUGCUCCAGCCAUUCUAACGCUCUCUUCCCUGAACUGAAAUGCGUCCGAAAACCCUAUUGCAAGGCAGGAAGGCAUCAUGGCAUGUCCGAAUCCAUGGCUGUCCGAAUUGCAUUUCUCUGAGCUGCCUUCAUGCCUCUUAAGUCAACAAGUCAGCUGCCUUAGUUUUCGGACGCAGCGGUAGUAGUGGGCUGUACUUCUCACACGUGCGACUUAUUCGUGUAUUGCAGUUUGGCUGGCGGUUGGCACGCAUACCGCCUCCCAUGGUCGAAACUGGUAUUACGACACCAGUCGGGCUGUAGCUAAUUUAGCAUGCUAAUUCAGAUUGAUAUCUCUGCAGCACUAUACCUUGUCUCUUUUUUUAUGACAUCUUUGCCCUUAUUUCUUCUCAUUCUUUUGAUGCGUGUAGCUCAUUUUUUAAAAUCUUUUACCUCAAUUCUUACAAAUGGCCCCUUUAAAGCUGACAUCCAACCUGAAUGUCGGCAUUGACAACAAAGGAUAACGUACAAUCACUAGAGUGAUAUUUAACAGUUUGAUUAAACUGCUUUCAGUAUCGUCUUAUAUUUAUGUCCGUUAAAUAAUUUUUUUUUUUUAAAACAGCCACUUUCUCUAAAAUGAUUUAAUAAUUAAAUUAUGACAACAUAGGGAAAACCCAGCCAUUUUUAGAGUGCAUAAAAAGUUAUAGCAAAUAUUAAAAUCCUAAAUCAUAACGUGUAAUUUGUCAUUGUUGCCAGUGGUGACUUCUGCCAAAAAUAUUACUCUCAAAUUAUAAUUAUUAUUAUCUUUUUUUUUUUUUUUCAAUUUUAGGCACAGUCUGGAGCCCUCUUAAAACAUCAAACAUUGAGGGGGACAAUUUGGCUCGGCGAGCAUGUCCCUCUUACGUCCCUGAAUUUAAUUACAUAUUUUCAAAACUAUUCUGGCUAGUUUCAUUUUCUUGUUGGUGACUAAAUGGUGACACAAUAUUUGUCAUUGUCACACAAAAAAUAUAUCACAAUCAGAUAUUUUCUUAUUUGUGUUUUUUUUACUAAAAUACUGUAAUGUAGUAAACACCAUGAAAAAUGUGUUUGAAUUAAAAAGACAAUAUCUGUUUCUUUUUACAAAAGUGGACAUAGCUAGAAAUAGCGAGUAGCUUUUAAAAAACAAUAAUGUUUAGAGACUCUGUCAAGUAUUACUAAUAAUAACAAUGGUAGAAUGUGACACAAAAACUAAAAAACAUAAAUACAAACUUAAAAAAAAAUAAUAUAAACUUAAUAAUUGCUACUAAUUAACUCAUAUUUAAAUUUAGAAUUCAGAAUUAAAAUAGAGUUUUGACACAGGUUAACCCCAAACUGAUUUUGCUUAUAGCUACAAUCAAUAACUACAUUUAAUAGAACUCCACUUAGUGACAUUAAAAUAUUGUUCUCCCUUCAUUUUCAUUUAUAGAUUCAAAGAUAGUGAUCCCAUCAGUGCUGGUGAUCACUGCUUUAUUAGUGACCACACUCACUGUUUGGCUUAUAUAUCGAAGGAGAGCACAUAAGAGAGCAUCAGUUGUAAAUCAAAACAACGUUUCCACUGAACACAAUGUG